UACGUAGGGUGCGAGCGUUGUCCGGAAUUAUUGGGCGUAAAGAGCUUGUAGGCGGUUUGUCGCGUCUGCUGUGAAAAUCCGGGGCUCAACCCCGGACUUGCAGUGGGUACGGGCAGACUAGAGUGUGGUAGGGGAGAAUGGAAUUCCCGGUGUAGCGGUGAAAUGCGCAGAUAUCAGGAGGAACACCGGUGGCGAAGGCGGAUCUCUGGGCCAUUACUGACGCUGAGGAGCGAAAGCGUGGGGAGCGAACAGG
rnacentral:rRNA from 1 species